ensembl:misc_RNA Metazoa_SRP Metazoan signal recognition particle RNA
GUUGGGCAUGGCGGCGUGCGCCUGUAGUCCCAGCUACUCGGGAGGCUGAGGCAGGAGAAUCGCUUGAACCCAGGAGGCGGAGAUUGCAGUGAGCCGAGAUUAUGCCACUGCACUCCACCCUGGGUGACAGAGCGAGACUCUGUCUCCA